rnacentral:rRNA from 1 species
AUUGAACGCUGGCGGCAUGCCUUACACAUGCAAGUCGAACGGUAACAGGUCUUCGGAUGCUGACGAGUGGCGAACGGGUGAGUAAUACAUCGGAACGUGCCCGAUCGUGGGGGAUAACGAGGCGAAAGCUUUGCUAAUACCGCAUACGAUCUACGGGUGAAAGCGGGGGAUCUUCGGACCUCGCGCGGACGGAGCGGCCGAUGGCAGAUUAGGUAGUUGGUGGGAUAAAAGCUUACCAAGCCGACGAUCUGUAGCUGGUCUGAGAGGAUGAUCAGCCACACUGGGACUGAGACACGGCCCAGACUCCUACGGGAGGCAGCAGUGGGGAAUUUUGGACAAUGGGCGAAAGCCUGAUCCAGCCAUGCCGCGUGCAGGAUGAAGGCCUUUGGGUUGUAAACUGCUUUUGUACGGAACGAAAAGCCUCUUUCUAAUAAAGAGGGGUCAUGACGGUACCGUAAGAAUAAGCACCGGCUAACUACGUG